CAUACUUUCUCCUUCCUAUACCCAAAUCUCAACUUCAAAAUUGCCUUUGCUUUCGAGAAAAAUAUCCAUCUAUGAUGUCCACUAAGGUUCAAAGAAGCUAGGAGAAGGUGGUCAUGGUUAAUUAAUGAAGCAUCAAGAGGAUUGCUACCAGCUUCCAGCCCUGCUUAUGAUGCCUCUAAGGUACUUUAUUUAAUUUUCACAGCAGAAACUCAUUCAUUUAACCAGAGCUAAUGAUUCUUUCCAGCAGCCUCAGGUCAGCCAGCUAUUCAUAUUGUAAUUGCAUCACUGUCUCUCUGUAUUUCAGUCUCUCACAAACACAUUUUUCCCUUUUCAUUAGUUUUUCUCUGCCCUAAUUGCCAUCAGUCAGCUUAGUACAUUAUGAUAUUUCAAUUUCAGUUUCCUAUAUCCACCAAGCUAAUGCAUAAUAUGCUUAUUUCUUUGCAGGUUGUCACUUGAUUUUUCUUGUUCAGACACUUCUUAGGAUGUCUCAAGAAUUUUGAAAACUCUCUGAGCCUGAAAAACAAUUCCUUUAUUGGGAUAACCACUCAAGUUGAAAUUGCCUCCCUUCCUUGCCCUUGUCUUCCUUCUUCCGUUUGUAUAGCUGGACUAUAAAUACAACCUCCUUGAGUUAUAUAAACACAGAUAUUUCUAUAUGGCCUUUGUCCUAACUGAGACCCUCAAAAUAGUGCAUAAAAAUUUCUUGCUCAUAUUCUUGUCCUCUAUUCUUGAAAAGGUUUAAUAAGCUGCCUCUUCUUGCAUGUGCCUUUUAAAAGAAGGCUUGGAGAUCAGUCCAAACAAUAUAAAGGAAAGGAAAACUCCAGGGGAAAAUGUAGAGAAAUUGCAACCUUUGUCACAUACCUCCCCCCAUUCUCUAUCCCCAAGGUGAAUUACAGUGUCAGGAAAAACUUUCUUUAUUCCUACAAAAUAUUUCAUGCCUUUGUGGAAAACCCUACUGAGGUCAUUCACAGAUACUAAUUUCAAUGUCAUUUGUAUCAACAAACAAGCCUGAAGUAAAUAU
rnacentral:lncRNA from 1 species